AGAAACUAACUUGUAAUGUAAUAAGCUCGUCCUUCUAUCCCUACACUGGAUCUUGUCUUAAGAGGCAACACGAAAUAUCUAAUUUAAAUGCUCUCCAUGCCAAACUCAAGCAAUAUAGGGCUUCCUUUCAAUAAAUACACCACGUAAUAUACUGCAAAACAUCCAUACUUCAAGAAAAUAACCUGCAACCCAAUAAUAUAUCCAUAGUGUAAACUUCAUACUCCUAAGUAAUACCUUAAAUAUACAUCUUGAAAUAGUCCAUCCACAUGAACCAACCAGCAAUGAAAGAAAAUAAAAAGGUGUUUCCUAUUAUCAAAACAUCCAGAGGAAGAUGUGUCUCUGAGGAAAUCUGAGUAGAUAUUUUCUCUCUUUUUUCUUGAUGGAAUAAAUCUUUUCUUCAACAAAUAUUUAAACUUACACUAGACCCAACAUGUGGUGAUAUGCAUACUUAUCACUUUUUUAUUCUCAGAUCUGAAAUAAGUCUUCCAUCAUGAGGUGGCAUCCUUUCUGAUGGACUUGGUCCACUCUUAGAACUCCCUAAAUUCUCAUCUCCUUAAAAUGUACGUCUAUUUUCGCCAACACCACCAAUGCAAUUUUAAUACGUCUUCCUUCUUUUCCAAUACACACAACUUAGUUGAUCUACCCUCUCAAAUCCUCAUUAAUUUCAUUCUAAACCUAAGAAUACCUUUUCUCCAGGUCCAACUUCUCCCAAUCCUCCACAAAUUAUUAACAAAUUUUUAUUUCUUAUCCAACCAAGUUUUCCUAAUCGUGUAACUUAUGUCACAAGAAUCAUCAGUUUCUCAGAAUACAUCAAGAACAGUUACAUCCAGUUAAAUAGCAAUUUGUAAACUAAGAAUAUGAUUAAGCAGUAAUUAGUAAGCACUAAUCCAACAAAAAAAGAGAGAGAAAUAUUACAUGAGCAAGAUUUGUCAGGAA
rnacentral:lncRNA from 1 species